UCUGGGCCAGUUACUGGUGUCUACAUGUUCCAAAUACUUUGUUAUUCAUAACUUAAAUGUAAAAAAGUUAAAUAGUCAGGUCUUGGAGAAGCCACUGCUAAACAACAGUAAAUGCUAAAGUAAACCACAAAAAGAAAUCCACCUAUUCAAGAAGGAGAGCAUCUGGAGAAAGUCCAGUUGUGGAGAAGGACUUCUCAGGAGUUUUGCAUCUCCCGUUAAAACAUCAGACUAGUCUUCAAGAACAACCAUAGACCAAGGGGGAACAGACUACCAUGAGCUACCAUGACACCCAGCAAUCAUAUUCCCAAGAGACUUUCAAUCAGUCCACAAAUUCCACCCUUAGCAGAAAACUUAACCCGUCAAGAAGGAAGUACGUAUCCCCAGAGGAACCCAGUGAUAUUGCCUCGGUUAAGAAAGCAGGUGGAGUGGACAGGCCAUUUCCACUAAAGCCUGUUUACCAUAAAAGAACUUUAAUAAUAGAUAGGUCAAAUAACUAUGAUGCAGCUUGUAAACCUAAUGAGUUUCAAAGACUCCCUCUGCAGUUUUCCUCACCAAAGUAUGUUGGAAAAAUUGGCUUAGCGAGCCACAGAAAGCCUGCUGAGGAUCCUUCACCAUCCUUGGAAGAUAACCCAAACAGUACAAAGGUUUCGUGGUAUCAACUAUCAAAGGAAGAGAAGCAGAGGCUAGAUUAUGAGUGUGAGAUGGCAAAGAAAAUCGACAUAGAUAAACUCAAACUUCAAGAGAAGCUGUUGAAAACUCUCGGUGCAAUGCAGCAGAGGGGAAGAGCUGUCUCUGUCGAUAACACCAAGGGAGAGAGGGAUAUUAGGAGACAACUGGAAAGAGAAAAGGAGUGGAAUUUUAGCAAGGUCGCCUCCACGGACCAGAGAAGGGAAAUGGAGAGAGAUCCAGAAAUGGAAAGAAGGGAUGGGUUGAUUCUUAGGCCUAAAAAACUGGAGGAUAUUGAUUGGCAGAGAGAUAAAGAAGAGAGGGAAAGAAGAGAGAUGAGGUCACUUUCAAAGGAUUUGGAGAAGUUGGGAAGAAUGGAAAGGGAGAUGGUGAACAAGCCAAAGUGGAGUAGAGACAAAAGAAAGACCAAGCUACAGAGUGAGCCAAACGAAGAGAGAAGUUGGAGGGGUAGAGAAAAGGAACAAGAUAGAGAUUUAAACAGAGAAAGGCUGCAUCGAAACGAUACAGAUUGGGAGUGGGUGAAAAGAUCUGAGAGAAAUAGGUGGGAGAGGGAGAAAGUGAAAGAGGAAGGACAACAUAGGGAGGUCAUUAGAAAGGACGACUGGAGAUCUUCUAGAGAGAGAUAUGCUUCAGCUGAUGACAUGAGGAGAGAGCGUGACAUAUCUCAUAGAGGAUUGAUUCAGGAAGGACAGCUCAGGACUGCACAUGAAACAGUGCCAGAGAGCAGUCAAAUUCAUUCCAGGAGAAUAUCUAGAGAAGCUUCACACACAUCACCCUCUCUUCACCUUCAGUCAGGCCGACGACAGCAAGUGGACUUCAGCUCUUUGGAGAGGACUGAUAAUUCUACCCUCCAGCUCAUCCCUUGCAGUAUUUGUCUCAGGAAAUUUGCUGCAGAGAGACUACAGAAGCACCAUGAGGUUUGUGAGAGGACACAGCAAUCCAGCCGCAAAGUCUUUGACUCUUCCAGGUAUAGGGCCAAGGGAACUGAUCUCGAAGAGUUCAUGAAAACCAACUCAAGGAGCAAGUCUCCUGUGCUAAAGAAGAGCAACUGGAGGAAGAAACAUGAGGCAUUCAUUCAAAAUCUACGCCAGGCCCGUGUUCCAGCAGUAGGUGCUAUGCAGCCCCAACCACCUAUCCAAGUCAAUGAUGAUUAUGUGACCUGUCCCCACUGUGUCCGUCGGUUUGCUCCAGGGCCAGCAGAGCGACAUAUCCCAAAGUGUCAGAACAUCAAGAGCCGUCCUCCACCUCCACGCCACCGCCACUAACAAAAUAAUUUUCAGAUUUUGUAUGUUUACAAAAAGCAUGCAAAUCUAAAGCCAUAAUCUAAUUAGAAAACUCCCUGAUAUAUUGGAUUAGUGACUGAAUAGCCUCUCCAUUUACUGAAAUUGAAAUAGGGAAAGAUAUACAGGUAUUGUGUUCUAGUUUUGUAUAAGACUUCCAAACUUGUUUGAAAGAUUAUGCAUUUUGAAAUUACACUGCCUUUGAAAAGGGUAUGUCAUAUCUACUUGUAAAUGCCGUACACCUACAGUAUCAAAUGCUGUCUAACAAAAUGAUAGUAAGCUAAGGGAUUGAUAUGAAAACCAAUAAGGCCAACUGGUAUUUUUUAUAGUGCAUUAACAAUUAAAGAUAUUAAUC